UAAUCCCCUUCCCUCACCUAUCCGCUGGCCGAUCUCACAUGGCUGAGCCGUCGCUGCGCUGCACAGGCCGGUGCCUAAGCUCGACGGGCGGUACUCCUGUAUUCCUCCCUCUUCAUCUAUCUCUCUCUCUCUCGGGUGGAAGCAGAGACACGCCUAGGUUCCAUGCCCUGGGUGGAUGGAGCCACCACAGGGUUCCAUGCUCCUCCCCUAAUGGUGGAGGCCAAAUUUGUUGGAGCACGUCGAGGCGCGAGACGUGGUGGACUUCCCACCUCUCCCCAGGCUCUACCUCGGAUGGAGAGGAGGGCGUCCAGCUGCUCCAUGCCACCACCCAUCCUAGGAGGGAGAGGAGGGCGUCCAGCUCCUCCUCCAUGCUGCCAAGCGACUCGGGAGGCAGAGGGCCGCGUCCAGCUCCUUCUCUGCACCUCCAGCUGGCUUAGGAGGGAGAGGAGCUCAUUCUCCGCUGUGCCACCAACCACCUUGGGACGGGCAGGAAGGUGUGACACGCCGAUCCCUGCCUCGGUAGGAAGCACGGUCACCGGGGGAAGAGGAGGGCCACAACAACAGGGAGAAAAGACAGAAAAUGAGGAAAAAUAAGGGAGAGGUGGAGUCUGGGGGAAGAGUCGCCGGCUUCCUCGAGCAGUUCCCGCAGCCAUGUUGGCUACGACGAAUACGGGUGACUCGACCGCGCCGGCUGCUGAUGUGCUCAGCGUUGCCCCAAUCCCACCAUAGGGGAGUGGAUGGAGGUGAUGAGCCCCGCGGUGGUGGCAUAGAUGACCCUCUGAUUCAAUUCGUCUAACACCUACUCAAUGCCGUGUGCCAUCUCCAGCGUGCCAUUUCUUCCAUGGUCUGGCAUUCAUGAUCUUGACGCUGUUGUGUCACCGAGCUCUAGCUUGCUGCCUCAGUUUGUGCCCAUUUAAAGCCGCAUCAUUUGCUUCGAAUUCAGGCGGUACGUUAUCUUUUUUUUUAUCUUCAUUUCUUCAGGUGCACAUGAGUUUCCUCUGAAUUUCUAUUUAAUCUGAGCUGAAUCAUUCGCACAGACUUCUGAUUUCUUUUCGUGGCCAUGUAUAUGUUUUUUUCAUUUUAUUUUCAACUGCACGUGCUUAUUUUCUUCAUUCAAAUUCUUUGUCCAACUAUUUUAAAACUUAACUACUUCAGAGAUCAUUUCCUGGAUUGCCUUAUGUUUCACUGUUUAGGCCUUACAGAAUUUUUUCCCGCUGAUGCAUGUCAUACUCAGUUAGAAAUACAUGUAAGGAAGCAUGAACUUUUUUUCAGAUUUCUUAUGGUGUACAAUGCUUAGAGGGAGAUUUUAAUGGACUUACAGGUUAUUGGGCUCCUCGGCUAUUUAUCAUGCCAAAUGAAUCUUCGAAAUUACAUAUGAGUUAUAUGUUCAGUCAUUGUCUCCAUAACUGAUCCAAGGUUGACAGUGCAAGGCUAGCUUUGCUUUUUAAGCUAAAUCUCAAGAUCUGCGAGAAUACUGUUGUUUUGUUUUGAUGUGAGUAGUUAGCUGGUGGGGCAUUUCUGGAAAUAAUUAAGGGGGAGCAUUAUUUCUUAUUUUUCUAAAAUCUGGGUAUAUUGAUAUUGUUUGUUCAUUAAUUUUUUUGUAUUGCUAGGAUUGUAGUCCAGCUUCUUAUUUUGUUACCUGCAAAAUCUUACGUUGAGUCUUAGAAAUGAAAUCCCUGUUUGGGCUGUUUAGACCAUGCCGAGAAAGUUUUAGUUAUGUCUGUUGGGGGAUCACAUCAGAGGGGCUUCACAUUUGCAUCAUAAUAAGCAGGAAUUGCAUUCAAUAAUUUUUAUAAUACCUAAACCAUGAAGUGCUCUUCUCAUUGCCUAUCUCUUACUAUUUAAUUAGUCAAACCGUAGUGUCACCAGAUGAUGGGAACCUUGCUUGAUGAGUUAAAAGUGAGUCACAUGUUCUAACCUUCAGUCCAUAAUUAUUUCAACAACCCUGUACAGUCAUGCUACAAAGGCCUACCUGACAUAGUGUGUAAUGAGCACCGAAGAGACUCAAACCCUGGUGCGGUUAACAUGCUCUUUUCAUGGUCCAGCUACAAUAAUCAACCCUGUAGAGCAAACCAGGCUAGGUGAUCAGGAAAGAACAUGUCAGCAAGCCCCGAAACAAAAAUUUAUUUCCAGGUCUAAAUGGGAAAGCUGAUUUCAUUCAACAGUCAGACAUUUGAUCCUAACAAUGAAAUGCCAUUUUCCGUGUCUAAACUGGGCAGCUGAUUUAUAAUGAACACUUAUAUAUGAUAGAAAUAUAAAUGCAACCAAACCCGGAUGAUAAUCGACAAGUGGGCCAAAGAAUAAAGCUACAACUUCAGUCUGGCAAGGUCGUAAGAAGCAAUCUUCUUCAACCACUAAUGAGAAAUAAGAACUCGGUACAAUCGUAUAACGGGUUUCAGUUCAUUCUUUAUAAUGAACAUGGUAGAACCUCAGGUUUUAGAACUAUAAGUAGUACAGUGCAGUAACACUAUGAGACAUGCAAGAUGUGUAAAGCGGUCGAUACUAUGAAACUUGCAAGACAGCUAACUGCAAAACUGAUGAAUGUAAAACGGUCGAUACUAUGAAAUGAAAAUUGAGAACUUAGCAAAGAUGUGUAAAGCUGAAUAAUAAUGCUGAAGAACAAACGGGUAUCUGAAGAAUUAAACACGAACGAACACUGACUUUAGUGAGCUCUCCAACGGUGGACAGUAGAUUAGUGAGUUCUUCAUUCGUAUGCUUCCAAGGACAGGGGGUUCCUUAAAUGAAGAUUGAAAUACUGAAGAACAUGACUUAGAACAAUGAGGACUGAAAAAAAAGUUCUUUCGUUUGGUUCUCAAAUUUAUAGAUACUGUCUGUUUCCAUCUUUCUCCAUUCAGUGUGACACAAACUCUGAAAAAAAUACCGGUGUGUUGAAUUGUCAAUCAGAUCCCUUAUUGCAUAGUUUGAUUUAUCAGGAUUGGGCUCACCUCUAUAGGGACACCAUCAAGUGUUGCUUCAACAUUGCACGAUAAGUUCCAGAGAAUCAAUUUCUUUUAGAGGUUCAAUGGCUUAUGGCUUGCUGUCAAUAGUUCACUCAUGUGCUUAUCUGCAAUUCAGAAGGAGAUGCGCCUAAUUAGACAUUUUUUUGUUUUGAUAUAGUGCAUAUUCAAGUAAUGUGCAAUUGUCCAUUUCUUUCUCCUUGAAAUCCACAGAACAUUGCUCAAGCUUAUACAUAAAGACAAAAAUACAUGUCCGCCUACCAAUGAUUGCUUUCAAUUGGAUCUCAAGGUCUUAACCAAUACAUUUUUACAAAAUGGUCAAUAACUAUUACUAAUUCAUAUUUUGUCUGCUUCACCACAAGUAGUUUAUAAGGAUCUCAUCUCACAUACUAAUUUUUGAUGUCCAGUAGGUGGGUUAGCUAAUGGGCAGUGCUUACUUGAGUGGUUGGUACUCCAUUGAACAAUAGUGCCAUCUGUCCACAUCGCUGCCCUCGCAUGGCUGGAAUUAUUUUUUGUCUACAAAGAUUGAGGCUGCUCAGAAGUGAUAAAGACAUACAGCUGGAAUAAAAAAAAUUGUGCAGAGCAUGCAAUGUUCACCUUGAUCAGGUACAUUUUAGUAUCUUCCUCUUAUUUCUGUUUUCCUGACACUACACAACUACCAGGCAUCCAUCAAAGGGCAGUAACCAUAAAAGGUGCAACACAUGAAGUCAUACUCCCCUGCGGACGUGACUCAAGCAGAAGGUGCAAUACACUAAGCCACAGCUCGCGUGUGGUGGCAUGCCGCACGCGCCUGCCCCCAGGUCAUCCUCGGUUGACAUGUAUGGGCGCUCUGUCGACCUCCACAUCCACCUCCGAAGCCUCUAUGCCGUGCACAGCGGCGCCGCUCGAGGCCACUAUUGCUUUAAUGUUUAGCUGGAUGGCUUCGAUGCCCGUGAACUUCCUGGACCGGUGCAGGGCAGUGGCUGUCAGAGGGCCAUGGGACACGUGCCUAGAGCACGGCGAGGGCGGGCGGGUGACUGGACAUAAAGCUGGACACACUAAUGCCUGCUGGGGUGGAGCAAGAGGACAUGGCUAGCUAGAGGUAUAGACAACAUAUAAGUUGGAUUUAUUUUAACAAUGCCAACAGCUGAGGUCAAAAUAAAUUAUGUACAUACUAAUUAUUCUUUAUUGGAAUUAACAUGGUAGUGAUGUAGUAAGGUUUGAUAACCCACUCAGUUAUUCCGUCAUUUGAUGCCCACCAUGGUUUUAGUAUAUGUUUUACAGUCUCUUAUGCUACCUCCCUAUCAUGGCCGAGUAGUUGCUUUCCUACCUAUGUGUUGUAAUUCGUGACUUCGUAGUAUCAAGUACUAUGAACACACGAAAUGUGAAUCUGGGAGAGGAUCCAGCCUUAAUGCCUGCCAUAGCCAAGGAUAGU